rnacentral:rRNA from 1 species
AGAGAUCAUGGCUCAGAAUCAACGCUGGCGGCGUGCCUAACACAUGCAAGUCGAACGCGAAAGGGGAGCAAUCCCUGAGUAGAGUGGCAAACGGGUGAGUAACACGUGGGUGACCUGCCUUCGAGUGGGGGAUAACGUCCCGAAAGGGACGCUAAUACCGCAUGACAUCCUGUCUUUGGACAGACGGAGAUCAAAGCCGGGGAUUCGCAAGAACCUGGCGCUUGAAGAGGGGCCCGCGCCUGAUUAGCUAGUUGGUGAGGUAACGGCUCACCAAGGCAACGAUCAGUAUCCGGCCUGAGAGGGCGGACGGACACACUGGGACUGAGACACGGCCCAGACUCCUACGGGAGGCAGCAGUGGGGAAUUGUUCGCAAUGGGCGCAAGCCUGACGACGCAACGCCGCGUGGAGGAUGAAGAUCUUCGGGUCGUAAACUCCUGUCGAGUGGGAAGAAUGGACCGGGAACGAAUACUUCCCGGUAUUGACGGUACCACUAAAGGAAGCCCCGGCUAACUCCGUGCCAGCAGCCGCGGUAAUACGGGGGGGGCAAGCGUUGUUCGGAAUUACUGGGCGUAAAGGGCUCGUAGGCGGCCAACUAAGUCAGACGUGAAAUCCCCAGGCUCAACCUGGGAACUGCGUCUGAUACUGGAUGGCUUGAAUUCGGGAGAGGGAUGCAGAAUUCCAGGUGUAGCGGUGAAAUGCGUAGAUAUCUGGAGGAAUACCGGUGGCGAAGGCGGCAUCCUGGACCGACAUUGACGCUGAGGAGCGAAAGCUAGGGGAGCAAACGGGAUUAGAUACCCCGGUAGUCCUAGCCCUAACCGAUGAAUGCUUGGUGUAACGGGUAUCGAUCCCUGUUGUGCCGAAGCUAACGCAUUAAGCAUUCCGCCUGGGGAGUACGGUCGCAAGACUGAAACUCAAAGGAAUUGA